GUUUUUAAACAUUUUAUAGAAAUAUUGAAAGUGGAAAGAAUUAUGCAAACCUUUUAAAUACAUAAAAGCAUUUGAGGCUGUAAAGAAAAAAAGGUUAUCUGAAAUUGCUUAUAGGUACACUAUAGGCACCCAGACCACUUCUGCUCAUUGAAGUGGUCUGGGUGCAGAGUCUCUGUCCCCCAUAGUUCUGCUGGUUAACUUUGCAAUAUAAAGUUUUCAGCUGCAGGGUUAAAACAGGGGGCACAUGGCACCCAUACCACUUCAUUGAGAUGAAGUGGUCUUGGUGCCUAUAGUGUCCCAUUAAGAGAGAAUAUAUGCCAAACAACAUUUCUGCUUUAAUUACAGCCUUUAUGAAAAGCACAGUUGUUUUCCAUAGCUGCUGACUCUUGCAUGCUUAAUUAAUGAAACUCACCUCUCAUUGAACCUUCUGUUGUGAUGAUGGCUACUGUAUGUGAAAAUGGAUUUGCAUUGUAAAACAUGACCUACUUAAAGGACUGGCACUCCCUCUGAGAUACACACAUAGUUGAGUGC